rnacentral:rRNA from 1 species
UACGUAGGGUGCAAGCGUUGUCCGGAAUUAUUGGGCGUAAAGAGCUCGUAGGCGGUCUGUCACGUCGGACGUGAAAAUCCAGGGCUCAACCCUGGACCUGCGUUCGAUACGGGCAGACUAGAGUUCGGUAGGGGAGACUGGAAUUCCCAGUGUAGCGGUGAAAUGCGUAGAUAUUGGGAGGAACACCAGUGGCGAAGGCGGCUCACUGGACCGGUACUGACGCUGAUGCGCGAAAGCGUGGGGAGCAAACGGG